rnacentral:misc_RNA from 1 species
ACGGCCCCAUCGCGCCUCGCACUCCAUCCUCUGGUCGGCUUGGUUGGUCGUGUGUGUGUGUGUGUGUGUGUGUAUUCACCUCCCACAUUUUGCGUGUGCGCGCGUGCUCCGGUCUGCCGCCGUUGCUUCCCCUACACCGCCGACAGAUAAGCGGUCGUGCGCAUAACACUCGCGCAGUCCUACAGAGCGGGCGGCAGUGGGAAAGCGAGAGGCGCAAGCGCGCAGCAGCACGCCCGCCGCCUGCCACCCCCGCAGAAAUCUGAAGGAUGUGGUCCCUACUCCGCCCAAGCCCCGCCGUUGCCUCCUCCAUAUUGGCAGCAGUCGCUGCAAAGGGUGAUUGCCGAUACCCCGUCGGUGGCAUCGCUCGAGGCACCAUCGUGAUUAACGUUUGCCUCCGCCACUACCACGGCUACUCCGACGGGCAGCGCACGCCGCAUGGGCAGCGAAGCGCCUCCUCUGCGCUUGCCACCGACGGUAGGGGUCGUCGGGAUCAUGUCCCGACGCGUUCGCCGUCCGCGCCUCCGCAGCAGCAUCGUUCGCAGGAUGUGCAGCUGCAGCAGUAUCGCGGCCAGCAGCGGAGAAGUACGUCGCUUGCGGCGGCCGAGGCGGCCUCCACCGACCUGGUCACAGCCCGCUCUACCUUUUGGUCGCAGCCCGUGAAACAUGUGUCGGCCGCUACACUGAAGCGGCAGCACACGCUCGAGCGCGCACAGGACAAGAAAUCGAAGUUUCUCGUCCGCAGCAGCAUCCGCGAAGAUGGCGUCAUCUCCAACCUCUUUCCUCUUAACUUUCGUGUCGCGGAUGCGUCGCACCCAGACAGCCACCGCGGUGCACCACCGACGGGCACGCACGUUUACAUCUACGAGAUGUACGUGACGCGGCUGACGGCGACACAGCGGGGAGGCAGCGCUGCGAGGGGCUCCCCUUCGGUGACUGGUGCGGGGGCACGCGGCAAGGCCAGAGCCGGUGCCGCCGCGGUAGCGGCGGCGAUUGGCGGUGUGCAGGCGGGUGGACUGGCGUCGGUGGAGCGGCGUGUUUCGCCUGGACGCGCGUGGAGAGCGGUGGAGCGGUUUCUGCGCCACAAAUACGCCGGGGUAGCCGCGGCGUUACUGCCGCCGUUGGUGCAGCUGAAUAGCAAGGUGUACACUGCGGCCCCCCUCCCACCCGACGCACUAGUGCUACCGAGAGCAUACUUCGAUAUCGGCUGGCAGACGGCGGUGCUACGCCUGCAGCGCCGCUGCCGCUUUACUGAACUGCCGCCGAGCGAGCUACAGAUGCUGCUGAACAAGAUCGUUCCCGAGGUGGCACGUACAUCUCACCGCGAGCAGCGACAGAAGGUGGACGCCACACCAUCCUUCCUCGAGGUGGUGCGGGAGAAGACCGGCAAGCUGGUGUGCGCGACGCAGGGCGUGUCAGCUGGCGGGUUGCGGAUCUAUCAAGGUGUGCUGGUGCAGGCCAUCUUUGUGGACAGCUCGGCUGCGCUCGACCCCAACGCGGCAGACGCGAGGGAAGGUCAGGUGGCGAGAGAAACACACACGUGCAGCCUUGCGCCAGCCAAGACAGGUGCCGGCAGCAGCACCAAACCCCCCACUGAUGCGGAUGCCUGCCCCAUCGCUACUCGACACCUCGGCGACACCCCGGUGGGCCUUACCGACGCCGCAGCGGCGGUGCACUUCCAGGUGGUCGCGUUCCUCCGCCCCUUUGCCUAUCGGGGCACUCAUGCCGAGAGCUACCGCAUCCGCGAUGCCUCAGGCGUGUAUUUGGCCUCGCUCUGGGCCCCCGCAAAACCACGCUCGCUGACCGUCGGCGCGGUCUACGCAGCUGCCCCAGUGCGCAUUCGCGAAUUUGCGGAGCGCGGCAAUGCCCGGCUCAUCGAAUUCCUCGAUGGCACCACUCUCACCCUCCUCUCUGCCAGCACCGCUACGGCGCCAGCCAGCCUCAGCAGCGGCAGCGCCAUGGCGCAGCCCUUCACGCCACGCAGUGACAGCGGUAACGGCGGCGCCACAUCGGAGGCGAGUCGUCUCCCGGGUCAGCUGAGCCUGAAGAUUGACACAAAGGGCACGAUCGCGUCGGAGGUGUCACUUUGGGAAGAGGUACUGCAGCACUUCGGCCACGGCCCGUACGACGAGGCGGCCCAGCAGCGCCUCCGCAAGUCUGUCCAAGGCAUCCCUGUCGUCAUCUCCUACUCGCUGCGUCAGAGCAUCGUGUGCGACGUCCGCUUCGACAGCGACGCGCUGCUGGCUGCCGCCUCUCAUACGCACGACCUCGCCGCCGCCGAGGAGGGCAGGGGGCAAUCGGUAAGUGCGCCCCACUCCUCUUCUCCAAACGGCGACGCCGUGGCACACGGCCGGGCACGUGAGCGCUUGAGUGCGCCGAUGCUGUGCGUACGAGAGCCGCGCCUUGCGCCACUGAUGCCGCGCCUCGACUCGCAGCAGCCGUGCGCCAUUCUCGCUGAUCACACCAUUGUGCCGCUUCAGGUCUUGCACUGCUGCUUCGAUCCUCGCAUGCGUAGCUGGCAGGAAAUCGGCGUUUCCGCGCUGUCUCUCAUGCCACAGCAGCGCGCGGCGCUGCUGGAGUCGAUUCGCGCGCUGCUCGCGAACGGCCUGCAGCGGUGGGGCAUUGAUGUGUCGGCCAACCCGUAUCGGACCAAGGCACUCUCUCUCCUGCCGGCCCCCAUGAAGUGUGUCGUGCCGCAGCGACGCCCGGCCACCGGGUUCGCGAAUCCAGCGGUCGUGGCCUUUCCUACCACCAUCGUCGUCAUUGGCGUCACCGGACCACGAUGCACGGCGGAGCAGUCGCGGCGCAUCAGCCUCACCGCUCAGCACUUGGCGCACUACUUUCGCACGAAAUUCGUGGCAACCCUAGCGGACGAAGGAGCUGCCGUCCAGUACGUGCACGAGCAGCUCAUGUACACGCCGGCUGCCGUUGCUGCCCCAACCGGUCAGCCGACCGCCUCGCUGAAGGACCCGAAUACGUCUGUGAUCCUCAUCACAAACGAAAUCGACACGCGCGCGACGCGGUGGCUCAAAGUGGAAUGCAUGUGCCGUGGGGCGCACUUUAUCGCCAUUCCCGCGUCGUCAAGCCCGAAGAAGCUCAACCUCGCCGGCGCGCAGCUGCGGAUGCGUAUCGCGUCUCAGUUCGAACUAAACCCUCUACGCGGCGUCGACCUGCGCGGGGAGCUGCCUGUGCUGGGCCACCGUCACGUGCUCGUCAUCGGGGUGGACUCGUGCCACACGAACACGCACAGCGUCGGCACGAUCGUCGGCAUCCUCAGCACCCCGACGGAAAGCAAACUGCUGUCUUACUUUUGGCGGCACGAUGCACGCGGGCGCGAGACGCAGCACGUCGCAAAACACUUCCGCGGUAUUUUGGCCGGCGCCGUGGCGCUGUCCGGCAGGGUGGACGAGGUAGUGGUCUUCCAAGAUGGUGACGUCUUCAGCGAGCUGGUUGGGGUCAAGGAGGAGCUCACGAUGCAGGUGCCCAACUGCGGCCUUACCUUCAUGUGCUUGCACAAGCGUUGCAACGUGCGCUUCAUGCACGCCUCGCCAGGGCAAGACGGCAGCAGCGCAACACGCAGUCAAGCUUCCGCUGUUGCAAGCGCAAGCGACGAUGUCGAAAAGGCUGACCGGGACACGAACGCCUUCCGUGAGGACAACGGCCUUCACAACCUCGUGAAGGGAGUUGUUAUCCCCGCUCUGGCGCCAGUGCCGCUGGACCAUCAACUCGCCGCCAACUCCUUUUACUUACAAGCGCACGAGUCGUCCAUGUCGACGGCGCGGAUCGUGCAGUACACGGUCCACCACGUAAGCCCUUCCCUCGACGUAACCGAUGUGCAGCAGAUCGCCAACAUCAUGGCCAAUGUGCUGGCGCCGCAGGCGACAAAGCUGCCCAUGUCCACCCGAUGUGCGCACCGGCUGGCUGAUCAAGCGGAGCGCCUGCUCGACGCAGUGCCGCAGCUCACGGCGGACAUGAUUCCGCGGCCACUGUGCAACCGCUUGUGGUUUCUCUAGCGGCACAUGGCGGUGUCACCGCGUGCACACACACACACACACACACACACACACACGCAAUAAAAGGCCGCACAGACAUGCGCGCACUCGUCAACGCGCCGUCUGCUGGCUCCUCGUUCGGUGAUGGGGUCCUUGCUGAUGCGUGGGGUCCGUACUUCAGCGCUGCCCUAACGGCGUUGGGGAUCGCCCAUGUCUUGCCUGCAUGUGUGUAUGUGUGUGUCCAUCUUAAUUCUGCCCCUCGUGGUGCUGCUGCUGUUCUGCUCCGUUCUUCUCUCUCACCCCGCUUUCUUGUUUCAGUGAUUUCGUUGUUGAUGGCAUCACUUUCCAUGCAUGUGUGUGUGUGUGUGUGUGUGUGUGUGCUCAUCGUUGUCGCCGUUGACCCCCCCCCCUCUCUUCUAUCCGCCCACGCACGUUGAAACAGCACGCCCAUGCACGAACGCGCAGGCACACACACACACACACACACACACGCAGGUCAGAACUCGCCAGUGCGGUCAUCGCUGUACAGCUCCACGUCGCCCCUUGCGUGUGUGCGGGUGUGUGCGAUGCUUUCCUCUCUCUUUGCCAGAUGACCACACAUGCAGAGACGCGAUGUUGUAUUGCAGACACGUGCGCACAGAAAAGUUAAGAGAGAAGGAGGCAAGCACCGUUGCAGUAGCCGCCGCCUCCCCUCCCCUCCCCUCCCCUCCCUUCCCUUCCGCGGUGCCCCUCUUCCCCAAAGAAAACAAAGGAAAAACAACUCUGCAGAAAGGGGAGCCACGUGGAGGUGAGCGGUUGGGGCAGGCCGUCGUAGGGAUGCGUCGGUACCUGCCGCCGCCCUCUUUUGAGUGGCACUCACACACCCCGCGCUAGCACCUGGAGCGUUAGCGGCACACAGCGCACUCGCAUCCCUCCUCUUGUUAUCUUCCAUCUCACCUUCGACUCGCUCGAUCACUCACUCUCUUUCACUCUUCCUGCGUUGCACGGCCCAACGGGCCACGGCGCAG